AACGAACGCUGGCGGCAUGCCUAACACAUGCAAGUCGAACGAAGGCUUCGGCCUUAGUGGCGCACGGGUGCGUAACGCGUGGGAAUCUGCCCUUUGGUUCGGAAUAACAGCUGGAAACGGCUGCUAAUACCGGAUGAUGACGGAAGUCCAAAGAUUUAUCGCCAGAGGAUGAGCCCGCGUUGGAUUAGGUAGUUGGUGGGGUAAAGGCCUACCAAGCCGACGAUCCAUAGCUGGUCUGAGAGGAUGAUCAGCCACACUGGGACUGAGACACGGCCCAGACUCCUACGGGAGGCAGCAGUGGGGAAUAUUGGACAAUGGGCGCAAGCCUGAUCCAGCAAUGCCGCGUGAGUGAUGAAGGCCCUAGGGUUGUAAAGCUCUUUUACCCGGGAAGAUAAUGACUGUACCGGGAGAAUAAGCCCCGGCUAACUCCGUG
rnacentral:rRNA from 1 species